GGGAUUCAGAUACAUACAGGGCAUUGUCUUGUAAUUGGAAUGAUGGUGACGUAAAAUCUCACCAGAGUAACAAUUGGAGGGCAAGUCUGGUGCCAGCAGCCGCGGUAAUUCCAGCUCCAAUAGCGUAUAUUAAACUUGUUGCAGUUAAAAAGCUCGUAAUUGAAUUUCUGCGUUGCCCGACUCGGCUACUUGCCUUGUCUGGUUUCGCUUUUGGGGUUUUCCCCUUUUUACUUUGAGAAAAUUAGAGUGUUUCAAGCAGACUUGUGUCUUGAAUACUUCAGCAUGGAAUAAUAAAGUAGGACUUUGGUUCUAUUUUGUUGGUUUGUGAACCUUAGUAAUGGUUAAUAGGAACGGUUGGGGGCAUCGUAUUUAAA
rnacentral:rRNA from 1 species